CCCGACGACAAUAGUGCAGUUGUCCCACCUGAUUCCAUACCGAACUCAGAAGUGAAAAGCUGUAACGUCGAUGGUAGUGUGGGAUUCCCAUGUGAGAGUAGAGCAUCGUCGGGG
rnacentral:rRNA from 1 species